UGAAGUGUACGAUCUGGUACUCGUGAUAGCGCUGGUGGCUUUCUCUUCAGCCAACCCGGCAUGUUUAGAAACAGAGACAAAGACAGAUUUUUCCUACCUCCUAAACAGUACAAAACCAUGUCCAACUCUCAAUAACACAAUAGAAAUCGGAGGCAUUACCUUCCCUAACAACAUAUGCUCUAGAAGACAUACCGAUGAUAAACAAUGCCAUGUACAGUGGCUCUUCAUUAACUUGA